UACGUAGGUGGCAAGCGUUGUCCGGAUUUAUUGGGUUUAAAGGGUGCGUAGGCGGUCCAUUAAGUCAGUGGUGAAAUACGGCAGCUUAACUGUCGAGGUGCCAUUGAUACUGGAGGACUUGAGUACAGACGAGGUAGGCGGAAUUGACGGUGUAGCGGUGAAAUGCUUAGAUAUCGUCAAGAACACCGAUAGCGAAGGCAGCUUACUAGACUGUAACUGACGCUGAGGCACGAAAGUGUGGGGAUCAAACAGG
rnacentral:rRNA from 2 species